CCUACGGGAGGCAGCAGUGGGGAAUAUUGCACAAUGGGGGAAACCCUGAUGCAGCAACGCCGCGUGAGUGAAGAAGUAUUUCGGUAUGUAAAGCUCUAUCAGCAGGGAAGAAGGAAGACGGUACCUUACUAAUAAGCCCCGGCUAACUACGUGCCAGCAGCCGCGGUAAUACGUAGGGGGCAAGCGUUAAUCGGAUUUACUGGGCGUAAAGGGAGCGUAGACGGGUGUGCAAGUCUGAAGUGAAAGCCCAGGGCUUAACCCUGGGACUGCUUUGGAAACUGUGCAGCUAGAGUGCUGGAGAGGGAAGUAGAAUUCCUAGUGUAGCGGUGAAAUGCGUAGAUAUGAGGAGGAACACCAGUGGCGAAGGCGGCUUACUGGACAGAAACUGACGUUGAGGCUCGAAAGCGUGGGGAGCAAACAGGAUUAGAUACCCGUGUAGUC
rnacentral:rRNA from 1 species